GGGCCCGCACAAGCGGUGGAGCAUGUGGUUUAAUUCGAUGAUACGCGAGGAACCUUACCAGGGCUUAAAUGUAUUCUGACAGCUUUAGAGAUAGAGUUUUCUUCGGACAGAAUACAAGGUGCUGCAUGGUUGUCGUCAGCUCGUGCCGUGAGGUGUCAGGUUAAGUCCUAUAACGAGCGCAACCCUUGUCGUUAGUUGCCAGCAUGUAAAGAUGGGGACUUUAGCGAGACUGCCGGUGCAAACCGUGAGGAAGGUGGGGAUGACGUCAAAUCAUCACGGCCCUUACGUCCUGGCCACACACGUGGCUACAAUGGUAUAGACAAUGAGCAGCCACUACGCGAGUAGGCGCGAA
rnacentral:rRNA from 1 species